rnacentral:rRNA from 1 species
AGGGUUCGAUUCUGGCUCAGGAUGAACGCUGGCGGCGUGCUUAACACAUGCAAGUCGAGCGGAAGUAUUUAAAGCUUGCUUUUAAUACUUAGCGGCGGACGGGUGAGUAACGUGUGGGUAACCUGCCAUAUACUGGGGAAUAAUCAUUUGAAAAGAUGACUAAUACCGCAUGUGGUCACGAGAAGGCAUCUUCUUGUGAAGAAAGGGCUUCGGCUCGGUAUAUGAUGGACCCGCAUCUGAUUAGCUAGUUGGUGAGAUAACAGCUCACCAAGGCAACGAUCAGUAGCCGACCUGAGAGGGUGAUCGGCCACAUUGGGACUGAGACACGGCCCAAACUCCUACGGGAGGCAGCAGUGGGGAAUAUUGCACAAUGGGCGAAAGCCCUGAUGCAGCAACGCCGCGUGAAGGAAGAAGGGUUUCGGCUCGUAAACUUCUAUCAAUGGGGAAGAAAUAAAUGACGGUACCCAAAUAAGAAGCCCCGGCUAACUACGUGCCAGCCGCGGC